GAGACACCCUUCUGGGGCAAGACUUGCUUCAGUGGGGCUUUGGUGCUUACUGAGUCUGCCCCCUGAGUGUAUCCCU
rnacentral:pre_miRNA from 1 species